GUCCCAAGAUGGCGGCGGCGGCGGCGCCCGGGAGGCCGAGGCACCGUCCCGGCUGCUGAAGCGGGUUUCGCGCGGCUGGCGGCGGACGGGCCGGGGUCGAGGGCCGGCGAACGGGCGGCCGCUGCGUCAGCACGCCCGGCGGCCGGGGCUGGGCCGAGCGGCGGCGGCGCCGGGGAAUGCCCGUGCGGGCCCUGGCCUGGCCCUCCUCAACUUAGGGCGGCGGCGGGCCCGCGCCCAGGCUCCGGGGCCAUGGCGCUGCGGGAGCUCAAAGUGUGUCUGCUGGGGGACACAGGUGUGGGCAAAUCAAGUAUCGUAUGGCGGUUCGUGGAAGACAGCUUUGAUCCGAACAUCAACCCAACUAUAGGGGCAUCCUUUAUGACCAAGACUGUCCAGUACCAAAAUGAGCUACAUAAAUUCCUAAUCUGGGAUACAGCUGGACAAGAACGAUUCCGUGCCUUAGCGCCCAUGUACUAUCGAGGGUCGGCUGCAGCUAUAAUUGUUUAUGACAUCACAAAAGAAGAGACCUUUUCAACAUUAAAGAAUUGGGUAAAGGAGCUUCGACAACACGGUCCACCUAAUAUUGUAGUUGCCAUUGCAGGAAAUAAGUGUGAUCUUAUCGAUGUAAGAGAAGUCAUGGAGAGAGAUGCUAAGGAUUACGCCGACUCCAUCCAUGCGAUUUUUGUAGAGACCAGUGCAAAAAAUGCGAUAAACAUCAAUGAACUCUUUAUAGAAAUUAGUUCAUACAUGUUUAGGUUCAUCUGUAUCAUUGCAUGAUCCAUUCUUGUUUCCGUGGUGCAUCUGUCAGCCUCAGAGUCAGAGCAGGAGGAUGCCCACGGUGGUUAUCCAUCCUGUUGAUAGGCAUCUGAGUGGUUGUUUCCAAUGUAGAGCUAUUACAAAUGGUACCGCUGUCGAAGAAUUCCAUCCACCGACACCAACCCGCCGUGUGGCGGGAAGGGCUUCAAACUCCGGAGACAGCCUUCAGAGCCCAGGCGAAGCUGCUGCUGACUGAGCCUCAGCCUCGGACUCAGUGAUGAAGUAGGUGGUCCUGAAAGCUAACAGGAGGGCUGGGGGCCCUGCUGCCAGACUGAGCCUCGCUGGUCUGGGGUCUGCUUCAUGCAAAAAAGAGUCGCAGAAAUUGACCAGUCUGUUUCCUCUUUGAAGACUGUAGCAGUGCGGUUUCAGUCUUCGGACUUGUGUUAUGUAAAGACUCUGGGGGACAAAGGGACUCCAUCACUGGCUUUUGACCUUGUUGAAAAGGAACAUGUAAUUGUAUGGAUCGUAGGAUCCACUUGUUGAGUCGUUUUGUAAUCAAGAUUUUAUGUAACAUUUGUAAAGGGAAAUGAGCACUUUCAUCAUUCUUGAGGAAAAGAAGACCUCGUGGAGAUUAUAAUUUCCUUGGUUUCACAUUACCCCUGUUCUAGGGAGUUGUAUAAUUUAAAAUGUGGUAGCAUCGUUAAGUGGAGGGAUGGCGAUUAUUAUCUGAAGGUAAAAUGGGUUCUUUAUCGGACUGAUGGAAAUGAUUGCAUCCAUCUCCAGAGCAUUUUCCAUUGCAUACAUUAGCCCAGGAUACAUACAGUAAAUUCACAACAACAACAAUAGCCUGCAGCUCAGCCUCCGUUUGCAUUCUGACCCUGUCCUGUAUGUGUCACCAAACUCAUUAUUGGCUCCUGUAAUAAGCUCUAAGGAUCAGGGUAGUGGUGGUAGAGAAGCUGACUGGAGUAAAUCAAAUUGCAUAUGUUUAAACUGACUAACUGGUUUUAAAAGGAGGAAAAAGAAAGUAGUGUAAAUACUGUCAAUUUUUUAUUUAACCCAAAUAUUUUGGUGGGGGAAACAAUUAUCUGUUGCUUAGCCUAUGUAAAGUUAUAGUCCAUAUUUAUGAGACCAUUGCUUAAAAAGUAUAAAUUAUGUAAAUAUGGUAAUAAAUUCUGUGUUUCAUUCCAUUUAAUCUUGCCCCAUCUUGCAUGUGCCAACCCUAUUUUCAGCCUGUCCACGGGAGACUCUUCAAAGCACAUUUAUGUUGUGCGAAAGCAUAGAGCCUUAGCUUAUAAGUCUUCAAAGAUUUCCCUGCCUUUCUUUCCUUCCGUCCCCCUUCCGAAGCCCAUCUGGAAAUCAUAACAUAGACAUAUGCCACUUGGACAAGCCCGACUAGCCCUUUCUAGCCUUGGGGUAAAAAAAAAAAAAAGCUCCAAGCUCAGGUCAUUUACCUGGUCUUGGUAAUAAGUUUCUUUUCACUUUUAACAUCAGCCUCAGACCAACUGUUUGAAGAGAGCUUUCCUUGUUAACAAUUUAGCUUAUCUUUCCGGUUCCCUUUUCCCCCCUGCCUCUGUUAGUGGUUAACACUCUUUUCCCUCAGGGAGCCUAAUGAGGUUUUUAAUAUAAUCUAAAAAUAAAGCACUGAAGUGAAGUUGGUGAAAAUUUGUCCCUGGUCUAAUUUGGCACCCUUCCAACUUGAGUAUUGUAAGGGAAGGAAAUUUACAAGAUUAUAUAGGAAAUGAAACAGCUUGAAUUUCAAACUAAAUUGUGUUUUCAGAGCUCUCCUUAAACUGAACAGUCAAAACUUUUAAAAAUAAUUGUUAUUUCUUUGUGCACCCCACUUGAUAUGGGUAGAUUUUAAUGAGAAAAUUAUAACUCAAAUGAAGUACAAAACGAUUCCCUUCUCCCUGGUGAAUAUCUCAAGCAUUUGAAAUUGCUUGUUUUUUAUUAAAAUCCGAUAGAAGGAAUGUAGUUAGUGAAAAUUCUAACAUCGUUUUGUUUAAAAUACAUGUAGACUCUAUAGGUGCCCCCCCACCUCCCCCCCACCCACCCACCCCGCCCCAGCAUCUUGCUUUCAGAGAAAACAAAUAAUUGUAAAGACUGGGCUCUUUGCGCCUGAAGGUGGCUUCACUUUAUUUCCUAUACUGGUACAUCCAGGUGGAUGGGGGUACUUGGCCACUGCCCUGGUCCAUCCCUAGCAUUCCCACUCUGGGCCUCUGUCUCCACGACAACAAAAUAAAAACAAAGGUUGCUUGACUUCUUCCCGAAGAGGCAAUGCUUGUGUGGCCCCUUCUUUCCUAUUUUACCAAAAGAUGGUGCAAAUCUGUGACCUUCACAAUAUUGCCACCAAACCUGUCAGUGUUUACGAUUUCAUGGUGUCUGAGUGCACAGGGAAAAACAAAGUGCUUGCUUGCUUCACCUUACUGGUGCAGUGAGUAAAUGCCUCUGAUCCUGUUUUGACCUUGACUGUUUUCAGCCCCAAACGGGUCCAUCCCGGUAGCCCUGCAGCGGUUCUCUGCCAUUUCUCAGACACCUUCCAGCAUGUAGCGAGGGAUUCUCUUUGACUGUAGCCACAUAUUUUAUGCACAGAAUGAAUGGCGUAUGGCAUGUGCAGCACUAGCCGCUAUUCUUCACGCGUUUCUGGGCCUCUCCUCCCCUCAUUUCCAUCAGUCAUCUCAGAAAUUGACAUGGCACCAUUCUUGUGCAAUAUCUUUUUAAUCCUUAACAACAGCAGCAGAUUGCUCUCUCAGAUCCACAAUUCACACACAAUGAAACGGAGAAAAGGGUUUUCAUUUAUUUUGUUUGCUUAUGAAAUGCAAAGAUGAAUAUUAAAGUCAGAAGCAGUGUUUCAUUUUGAACACACUUUGGAUGUUAACCUGACUGAGCAAUGAUCUGAUACACAUUUCAUACAUUCUUUGUUCUUAUUUCUUAAGAGAAAAGGCCAAAUUUCAAAGGAAUUGAGGUCUAAUCCAUCCAUAAAAACCUUUUGGUUCCCUUAUGACACAGGGCAUUUUUUAAAAAAACUUUAGGGACUGAAAAGAGAAAAAUCAUUAAUUAGCUGCAAGUGUAUAUUGAUUCCUCUCAGAGAAAUUGAAAUAAGCUCUUUGCAGGUGUCUAAUCCUAGUCACCAUUGGUCUCCAGAAGUCUCCUUCCACAUAAGUGUUUUUCUGAUCCUCUGAUAACUAAUUAACUAUCAUUUGGUGAUUAAAAGAACAAAGUAAGAGUAUGAUCAAGUGCCCUUCAUUUCAAUUUCUCUUUAAGAAGUGAUUGGGGAGAAGUACCUGGAUACAGGCCCUUCAGUUUCCAAAUGAACCCUCCAUCACCUGCUUCUCAGCCACAGGCAGGAUAAGUUCCACACAUAGCAACAGGAAGAUUUAGUUCCUUUAGAAUAACAUACUUCUGUGCUGCCCAUGUAUGAUUAUGUUUGAAGUGCCUGCCUCCCCCAAUUUGAAAGGGUCAAGUCUUUUGCCUGAGAAGCUUGAUCUCUUCUAAGUGGGCUGGGGUCCUCCUUGAGGUCAUUAAUUAUCAUUUUUAAAUGUAUAAAGAAAAUCACAUUUAAUUUCUCUGCUUCUCUUUAAGUCUUGUAUUCUUUUCGGUCCUCAAGAAGGAAAACAGGUUCUAGGAGGCCUUCUAAAUUAAACGGGAAGCUACAGUAAUGAAAACGUCCAUUAGAGAACCAUUCCCUGGCUCCCCUGGGGACAUGGAACCAGAAGGCCUGCACUUCUCGGGCUGUGUCAGCAAGGGCAGGUCUGAUGCAGAUGGCGAGGCACUAAUUGGCAGGUCAGCCUCAGAGCUUGAAAAGGUAUUUCUUCAUGGUCAUGGGCAUCUGUAAUAGUCUGAGAAUGAAUGGCAAAAGAGGUUGUAUUAAUUCUUAUAAGCAUUUUUCACUCGUUUUAAAACUGAAAACAUGAUCCACGGCCCCUUGGUGUGUAAGAUAGAGGCACAGAGUAUAUUACGUGCACAACAGAUGUGUUUACAGGAACCUGCAUAGGUAAUGAGAGAAUCCUUUCUUUCUGGGGGAAUGUUGCUGGAAGUCCCUUAACUCUGAUCUACUUUAGAACAUUGGGUGGAAAUGACAACACCCAGACUCAGGCUGUCUUCCCUCUCCAAACUCACUUGGCUGUAAAUAUUCCUCCUAACCCUCUAGUAAAAACUAAAAGACAGUGAUGAGCCAGAUAGUGUAGCCCUGUCAACAAUCUUUGUUAUUUACAUUUGUCUUAGGACUAGCAGCAUGACUUCUGUUAAUUAGUCACUCCAGGAGGUGGUCUACCUCUUGACAGUUCAUAUUUUUUAAAGGAAGAAGUGGAGUGUACCUUUAAGGAUCAAGUUGUUACUGCAUACCUGACUUCAAUUAGCAUGGUCCAUCAACAAUUUUAAAAUGAUGCAAGGUAAGGUAUAGGAGAAAAAUAAAUAGUCUAAGCAAUGAUUCUUCUAGGAGAUAGACCUUAUACUGUGUAGUUUUAGAAGAGGGAGGUGGGUGGGAUUCAGCCCCGAACUGAAAGAAACAGCCUUUGCCAAUUUCUCUUGACAGCAGAGUUACUGGUCUUGACUUCCAGUAAUAGAAAUCCAGGCAAUUUGAUUAUCUGAUUUGCAAGAAACAUUAAUGGAAUGCUGGGGCAUUUGUCCUGUUCUUUGUGCAAAUGAAAUUCUAAAAAAAUAUUAGGAGGGUGUUACAUUUCUCAGUAGCCUCCACUUUUUCAAUCCAAGAGAAUGAUAAGUGAGAGAUCUGUGGUGAUGAAGUUUCAUUAGACAUAAUGAAGAAAGUGAAAAAAUAGAACCAAGAAUGUCUAUAUUUCUCAGUUUGUCCUUCAGAAUUCUUUUCUUAGCAUAUAGGAAAAUGAUUUACUUCCCAAAUCAAGAAGGGCUUCUACUAGCAUAGAUCAACUUUAAUUUGAGGGUCUGUACCAUCAGGAAUAACUAAUAUCUAUGUUCUUUAUAGAGUAUAAUCAAUUAGAGAUAUGCUAGAAUAUUUGGGUCUUCCAAACAAAAGGAUUCAGAAGUUUAAUGAAAAGAAAAACCUUUCAUCUUUUCCUUUGAUUACAUUGAACAUUUUAGAUAGUAAUAUUAGAAUGUGUCAUUAGUAGAUACUGAAUUAAAAUCAUAGAGCCUUAAAUUUAACAAGAAAAUGUUUUCAUUUAUUGCCAGUUCAUUUUCGGAUCUGCAUGGUGCCCAGUGCCUCAUCAAAAUGCUUCAUAAUUGAAACAAAAUUCAAGAUAACCUUCCCUGAACAGGAAUUCAAGUGCCAAGAAUUCAGCCAAUUAAUGGCAAAUCCUAAGACAGCAAUGAUUUUUUUUGAAAGCGCCUCUUUUAAUUGGCAGUUUUAAAUGGUAGACUUUAAUGUUCUUAAUCAUGCAACAGAAAUAAAACAUGCCAGUCUUCAUGCCACGUCUUAAUUUAGGAACUUUUCAGUGCUUCCAGAAGCAAAUUAUUUACUAUCAGUGCUCCCUUAGAGGAAGUCAUUUUUAAAGUAGCAUUCCGCACAUAGGGCCAUUUAUCUUUACUCAGAACUGAAAUUGUCCCCCAAAGCCACGUCAUGUUGUAGAAAUGGCAGGAGCGUGGGGCCGUCCCAGGUGGACAGGCAGCGCACCCCUACUUGGAACAUUGUCAGCCCACAGCAGUGAUGACUUCACUUUGGGGCUUCAUCUUAAUCUCGUUUGUCCUUUAUGAAUAUUUUCAUUAAAUUUACCCUGGAAUAAUCAAGUUUACUCCCUGAGAAAUUUCAAAAACAGGGCUUGAAUUUGUGUACCUCCUUUUACUUUACGUAUGAGGUUAUGACAUAAUUGAUGAAACUUUUCCUUAAUAUGGAUCAUACCCAUGAUGUCAGAACGACCGGUCGAUUCAGUGCAGGAAAAAUUAUGGGUAGCUAGCCAGUCAGAACAGCUGAUUGGUAGCUCUGUUUUUAAACCAUUUGUCGUGUUGUGUGGACAGAGCUUUAUUGCUCUGGGAAAGAUUUUCUUUUUCACUCUCCUCCAGCUCCGUCUUUCUAUCAUCUCACUUUAUGAGUCACUCACGUAGUUGUCAAUCAUGCCUCUGACCUUCUUAAGAAUUGAUGUCUUGCCUUCUCUGUGAUCGAAGCGGACUGCUUACCUUAUUUCUCUUCUUCUCAUUUUGCAGUGGGCUGUCCCUUAAAGUCACAGGGCACCAUCCACCUCCUUAAUGCACGUGACAGUUCUGUGCUGCCUCCCACAAGCACUGUAGGGCUUGCUCUCCACAUCCAACAAGAGAGGCAAGACAUAACCAGUGCCGUCAGAAAACAAGGCUAAUUUUAGGUGAAGAACUCCCAUAUUUUGAGAGAGGCAGUGGGCAGCACUAACUUAAGUGGCAACAUGACUUGAGUGACAAAAUGUUUUCUAGCACUGGUGAUGAGAUAGUGUGAGUGUCAGAACUUCGCUUAGUGUGUAAUAGAGCAUUUGUCAACGGAUGUGACAAUCCAAGUCCAGUCUUGAAGGGAAGCAGAUAUGGAGUGUGGAAGUGAGCCUAGACAUUAAUUUUUUUAAAAGCUAAGCCCUCAUACCAGCAAUUCUUAUUUCUCCUAAGAAUGUCAUGCCUUUUCAAGACCUGAUUCAAGGAGUAAGAUACUUGUGCCUUUUAUAAUAACAUCUAUUAUGAAAAAAAUAAAAUGAAUUUGCUUCCAGUUUAGGCCACUUGGUAGCACUAUAAAGAGCCCAGAUUUAUAGCCGUGGCUUCCCUGCAUGACGCAUUGCUUGAUUACCUGUGAUGAACUAUUGUAAUGAUGACUUGCCAAGCUUAUAUGGAUGUUUAAAGACUUUAUUUUUGCAGUCUUAACCUUGGGCUGGACCUGAGUCUAUAGGUAAACCAUAUAAUAUCUGUGUUGUUGUAGAUGCUGACAAAAGGAAACUAGAUCUUUGGAUUUUUGUUGUAAGAUUUUUCUGUUUUUACUUAGCCAGUGGUAGAUAGUUUGCAGAUGGUGGUUGAUUUGGCACACUUUUAAACUAUUGUUUUAGCUUGAAUAUUAUAUCAUCAACUUUUAUAGAGGAUAACGUGCUAAAUCACAACAAAAUUUGUUGUAUUGUAAGAAGGUUGUAAACAUUUUCUUAAUAAAAUACUAUGUUUAUAAAUA